rnacentral:lncRNA from 1 species
CCAUUGGAAGCUUGUCAUCAGAUUGUUAUUUGUUGGUAACAGAAUUUCCCUGAGCAUGCAUUCCAAGAUGAGAAAGUUGGGGCGAGACGACAUAUAUUUUAGGAAAAAUUAUGAGACGUUAUAUAUAGCUACAGUUUUAAAAUAUUACAUUUAAAUAUAUUUUAGGUUUUGUAUCAAAUACAUAAUAAACACGCGCAAUUAUUGGCUGACCCAACUUAAGCGAAGGCCUUCGUUAGAAAAUUAUGAUGUACAUAGGUUCAAUGUUAACUACAUAUCAUGAGUGUAUAUCUGAUGUUGCAAACCCUUAACACAAUUAAGAAGAAAAUUUGCACACACUUCGUCAAAAUUUUGGCUCCGCUAUAGCGCACACUAAUAUACAGUGCAUUGAUAUAGUAUGUGCUGCUAUCCACUCUAAUACCCAUCCGAUACAGCUGAUACCCACCUCCUUUCACAAAAUUACAAAAUAUUUCUUUCUACUUCAGAAAUUGAUGUGUUAUGUCCUAAUAGCUCCUAAUAGCUAAUACUUGGAUGCCAAUCCAAAUUAUUGCUUUUCAUUUAGUACUAUUACUACUCCAUAUCAUAUCAUAUCAUAUUUGUUGGUUGGUGGUCACAAACUCACACUUUUCUUUCUCUCUGUCAUUUGUUAUGUUGUGCUAAAGAGAUCUGUGGCAGAAAAAAGUCAUGUCCAAAACAACAACAACAUAUUCAAUGUUAUCACACAAUUUGAGGUGUGGGGAAAGUAUGGGUGCAAGCAACCUUACCCCUAUCUCGUAGAUAUGGAGAGGUGGCAUGUCCCUUUAACAUUUUCUUAUAAUCUUUUCUUCCUAAUUGCCAAAAUCACCAGAAAGAAGAAACUCUUGAAAUAAUGUCUGACUAUGUACCUGAUUGCUUGCUAACAAAAAUCCUUAGGGGGUUGCCUCUUGAAGAUCUUUUAUGAUUUCGGUGUGUCUCAAAGCAAUGGUAUUCCCUCAUAUCUUCCCCGAUUUCCUAUCUAAUUCCCUCUCCUCCAUUCCUCUUCACAUCUUACGCCACAUCUCCAUCAAGACCAAAUCGAGAAAACAAGAAUGCUACUCUAUCUACCUUGACCCUCCAACCCAAGCUGAAAAUCCAGUCCUCUUUAGAGAAGUCAAAUUUCCUUUCAACACCACUACCAGAAACCACUUAGGGUUGUUGGUUGCUGUUAUGGUCUAUUUUGCCUCUUCGGUGAUCUUUUUGGUUAUAGGGAUACUAUCAUUCUCUGGAACCCCACCAUUUGCAAAAGCCUCUCCCUCCCCAAAACUUGUGUUACCACCACCUCUGUUCACCUUGAUUCAGUGGCAGACUCAAAAUUUUAAGGUUGUAGGUGCUUUAAUUUUUUUUAACAUAAUUUGCUAAUAUAAAUAUAUAACUAUUUAAAUUCAAUACUAAAAUUUGGUGUUUAAAUUUUGAAAGAGUAAGAUUUUUUAUGGAGAAGCCAAAAGGUUUUCAGAUUUUUGUUUGAGUUAUUAAAAAAGUACAAAAAGUACUUUUAGUUUAAUAAAUUAAGAAGUAAAAAAACAAAAGCAUUACAAAAAAUUCAAACUUAGAUGCAUGUGUACUAGUAUGCAAGAGUACUUGGGUCUUGUGCGUGAACCUGGACAUGAAAGAUCCGCCUAAAGCCAGAGCAUCCAGACACGUUUUAGUUGUGUGGGUGCUUUUUUAUUUAUUAUACCAUUUUUCGAUAUUUCUUAUAUAAUAAUACCUAUUCUACGACGAGUUUAGUGGGUGUCGGAGCACCCAAAAAAACACGUGGGUCCGCCUCUACCUUGGUUUUGGUUUUGAUCCAAAAACUAAUGAUUUUAAGGUUGUGAGGAUAGUCUAUCUGCGUAUGGCGCGUCUGAAGUUGAGGUCUAUAGUUAGGGUACUGGUUUAUGAAAAAUAGUUAACUCAAAAGGCAUCAAGGGUAAACUGCUUGAGUAUUUUAUCUAUUCAUUGGGUUUCGCAUCGCAAGAAAAAAGAUAGGGAAAUUUUCUAAUAGCCUGUUGGUUUGUGACUUUAAGAGAUGAAACAUUUAAUGAAAUGGUUCUGCCAGGUUGGCUAGUGCAUGUUUCUCCUUUGGAUUUGUCUGUAACUUUAUGUGGGGAUCACAUUUCCGUGUUUCAGUACAUCGAGAGAUGCAAUGUACUUGAAUGUUGUGUUAUAUCUGUUAUGAAGUGGUAUGAAAACAAGGGGUCUUGGAGAAAGAAAUAUACUGUGAUAUUCAAUUUUGAGACUGCAUAUAGUCUUGCGUCCGUAGGAAGUUCCCAUGAAAAAUGGGAUCCGUUAGGUAAUUUUGGUGGGGUCUUUUUAUGAUCCGCAAGGAAUUUGAUGUCUGUGGUGAGAAAAAUUCACUUUACUUGAGCAACUAUAUUGAGAGUUUUGUCUUGCUUGAUCGAAGCAGUGGGGCUCUAGCUGAUUCUUCUGCAGAUUCAUCUAAUUGUCGUGAGCCAACUGAGCUACAGCCUUAAUGAAGCACUGAUAUUGGAAUAAUACCCUUACUGAAAGUAGUUUUUGGCGAUUAAUCAGCCUUUUUCCAUGUGUUUAUGACUAGCUGUGAAGUUCCAAUGAUGGUAGCUUUCUUUGAAAACUUAUGUUUUUAGAAUUUGAUCUUUUACCAACUUAUAUUAGUAUUGUAAAACGACUGUGUCAUCCUUUCCUUGUUGCAUAUGUUAGUUACUCCUAUGAACUGUACUUUAUAAUGUUUGAACUGUUCGUUUACAGUGUUUAUGACUAGCUGUGAAGUUCCAAUGGUGGUAGCUUUCUUUGAAAACUUAUGUUUUUAGAAUUUGAUCUUUUACCAACUUAUAUUAGUAUUGUAGAACGACUGUGUCAUCCUUUCCUUGUUGCAUAUGUCAGUUACUCCUAUAAACUUUACUUUAUAAUGUUUGAACUGUUCGUUUACAUUAGUUCUAUUUCUGCUUUUCCAAGUAUUUCUUUGUUGCUAAUAUACUUUUGUUAGUCCUCAUUUCGUAUUUAGAUUCUUGUUGGAUGCAGCUUUAUUAUUUGAAGGGAUUAUUAGUUAUUUUUGGGCGUUUUAAGUGAGAUGUAAUGUUACUUAUACCUUCAACAGGAAUGCUUGAUCCUGUCUUUACUAAAAUUGGAGUCUUGUUUAGUUUAGAGUUGAUAAAUGCAAACAUAUCAGACCUUGUACAGUGCUAGUAAUAUUGAGAAUUACUUUCUUCAUGCAUCUGGCACUUGAUCUGAAGCCCGAUUAUGCAGAGGCGGGCUAUGAGAUGGGUUUUAUUUUGGAGUUUAAAUGACAACUCACUAGCAUUUAUUGGCACUGGUAGGACAGGGGUUUCAAUCAAGAAAUUGGAGAUCUCAAGCAUUUAAUUUUAGCCAUCAAUCAAAUAGAUUUCUUGUAGAGAGAAGUAAUGUUUACACCAAAACAAACAAUUUAACCUUAGCGGUUAAAAGUCAUACUUGGAUACCUAGGAAUUGGAGUUCUUUUAGAGAUUAUACUGUAGAUAAAGAUGUUAUAGUACAUUGCAUAUAAGGGGAUUAGUCCAAAAACCAGCAAGGACGAGUUCACAUUACCAGCCAUGGGAUGUAACCAAUAUGAGAAAAUUUCAUCCAUGUUCUAUGGUCUAGUAUAUUAACUUAAUUAAGCAGAAGCAUUUAUUAAGGAUGCCACAUGAUUUUUCAGGUGGAUUUAUUCUAAAAUCCGGUCAAAGUGACUUUUGUGAUGAUCAGAGCAAAGUAAAAUGAUUUUGUGUAAAGAAAAAAAAAAAGUGAUUUUUGUGUAAUGGAUACAAAGUUAAGUAAAUAUGGAUGAAAUUUUCUCCCAUGAAUAUUAAGAGUAAGAAGCAGCAUUUUUGCCCCUAAUCACGGCAGCUUCAUACCUCCUAGUGUUGAUGAGAUAUUGCCGGGGAUUGUUCAUCAUCUUGUGACUAUACCCUUUAUGUCCAUGGAAGGACGUACAUAUUAGCUAUACAGAGUUCAUGAGGGGCGUGGCCUCAUCUCACAACAAUCCUGUCACAUCUACACUAUAACUACUCAAGCCUGCCAAAAUUCUCAAAAGACACUUCUUGGCAGAAAACAUGAGUUAGCACCCUAGUGAAACUUGUGUGUUUAUUGGAGUAUCAAAUCAAACUAUCUGUGCAUAACUCAGUAUUAAUCAGUUGUAUGGGAGUACAUGUACUAGGUCAUCAAGCUGAAAUCGCCACACUAGAAAAGUUUUCACAUAGUUCCUAAAUAUUAUUCACUCAAAGAGCAUUGUAAUGGUCCAAGUUCUUCAAUGUAUAUAGUUUGCUUUAUCUAUUAUGAAGGUCUUUGUUCCAUUAUUGCCUUUAUUCGGGGGCAUCCGAUAAAAUUUGAACGAUACAGAGAAGAUUGCAUGGCCCCUGUGCAAGGAUGACAAGUACAAAUAGAGAAAUGGUUCAAAUUUUGGUGGUAUGAAAGAACUGCUCCCAGGCACAUUCCACUAGGUAAAGCUUUAGGGACCCUUCUGGCCCUGAACUAUCCAGCUCCGGUGGACUUCCUUCACCGGAGACCAUCCAUCCCACUUUUUUCUCCUUCAUAACCCCAUAUUUUCUUUCUUAGAUGACCAACAGAAUCUACUUACGGCUGGGAGGGGAAAGUCAUACGACUUGACGAGGUCAUAUUCUUCCUCAAAAAUCUGGUUUGAAUGGGUUAAGAGUGCAAGGCUACACAUGCGUAGGAUGAAACUAAGCAGAGCCCCCUUAACUUGGUUGUGCAAAAGAUUUAAAGAGGCUUCUGAUAUUGAAGAAAAAUCCUUUAAAACGUGGAGAUACAGAGACAAGAAUACUUACAUUUAUUGCUCCAUUAAGUUCAACAAGUUUGGGAAGUCUUUAUAUGUUAUUACAAUUAAUAGACAAUAAAGAUCAAUGAUUAUCCUAUCGGAAAACACAUUCAAUGAAGGGUGGACCAACCUCAUGAUAAAAGUGGAGUCUUUCAUUAAUGACGAUAUGCAAGUAUAAGAAUUAAAUGCUAUUAAAGGGUAGGCAAGCAUAAGAGGGGAUAAAGAGAAGGAGAGUUAAAGUGAUGCGGUACAUCAAAAUAGGUGGACUUCUAAUGCUUCCUUUCCCCCAUUGUAAAAAAGUAAAAUUAAGAAGGAAGAUCCUCUGAGCAGAAGCCUCGUGGGUAGCUUUCCUGACUGCGAUGAGAUCCCUACUCAAAAUGAUGCAAGGAAAUGGGUGAAACAGACUUGGAAAGGCAUCUUCAAUAUUCAGGUCUUUGACUUGAAUGUAAUUCAAUUUCUUUUUAAAUUUACAAGAAGAAUUCUGAGAAUAUCCUCUCAUGGAGAUAGCAAAGGAACAAUCAUCAAUUGGAAUUGGAUUGGUGGACUCCUACGACGGGAGCUAUCCCUUUAUAGAAAAAAAUUUAUUUGUUCUAGGUCUACAUCUAAGUCUCCCUUGGUAGUUAUGGUUGGAAGAGGUGAUAAAGGAGAUCGGAGACCAAUAUGGUGGGUGGUUGGAGACGAAAGAAGAGACACAACUUCACAACUAUCUUAGAUAGGCUCGUAUAUGAGUCAGAGGUCCUUUGAAAGAGAUUCCGAUAGAAGUUGAGGUCAGUAAUGGGGAAUUCAUCUUUACGCUACCUGUAUGGUGUAAAGCUCCAGCGAGAUACAAGGCAAUCAAUAGAGAUGGAGCGAGGCCCGAGGGUCCAGGCAGCUGGAUCCACAAGGUGACACCAGAUUGAUAGUGACUUCUCAGAACCUUUACCCACCUAUCCCGGAGCUGUGUACUAUGGAUAAUGCACCACUGAAGCUAUUUAGACCUAAAGAAAAAGAAAAGUACAUGCCUUUACUAGAGAGCCACAUGGACACUUUAAUGAGUAAAAAGGGGGAAGAUUUAAUUAAAGAUAAGUUGGGCCGUCGGGUCACUUGAGUUGUGCUAAGUAUAUUGGGUAUAUGGAAGCCCAAAUACAUUAAAAAGACCCAAAUUUAUUUGAAGUAUAACCUUUUAUCGAUAAUAUCUUCAUACCUAAUAUACCGAUACCAAAAGGUUCUUUUUUAUACGGAGACGAGAUGGGGAUAGUGGUGUGACUAAUUCAACAACACGUGGGGAUAUGAUGAUCACUGAGAUGAGAAGGGGUCUUGCUAAUAAGGAGCAAUAAUUGCAUGACCUAAAUUCUGAAGAACAGGAAGAAGGAGGGAUUGUUUUCACUUUUGAAAGGGCGAUAGUUCCUCAAAGGGAGCAGGAAACUGAGGAUAUGAUGAACUUUGAAGAACCAGUACCCCUUCAAAAUAAUGAUUCCCUUUCGGAUCAGGCUAUUGAAGAUAAAGAUUCUCUAUGGGUCCAAGCGAAUGUUCUAAAACUUAGUCACUUGUUUGGAGCCACUUUUGAGGGUUGUGACAAAGUUUCCUUCGAUCUGCUGUUAAGAAUUGACCAGAACAGGGCUAUGAAGCAAAGGGAUAUGGAUAGUGCAUUUAACAGUGUUAAGAGAUAAAUCUCAAAAAAAGUCAAGAAUUUAGAAUUUUAUGUGAAACUUAAAGAAGGGGAGCAAAGAAGCAGAGAGAGAAUAACAUUAGCCAGUAUCCAACGAAGGUGAAUUUUUUCUUAGAAUAUUAGUGGAAUAAAUAUUAUUAGCAAGAGGGAUAUGGUUAGAAGAAAAAUACACCAAUGGGGGCAAAUAUAUAUGUGAAAUUAUAGACUAAAUUGACAGAAAAUGAAGUCCAAGUCUUUAGUCAACUAUGGCAAAAUAGAUGGAUGGGAGAACUUUAUUUAAAUGCAAUUGGUAGAAGGAGGAAUAGUAGUGAUGUGGGAUAAGAGGUGCUGGAGAGGUGAAAUGGUAGCAGGAUCCAACCAAAGUUUGACAUUGAAGCUUAAAGGCAUCAACCAGGAUCUCACUUGGUUCAUCGAUGCAAUAUAUGCUUCUUGUGAUGCUAUUGUCAGGGGAGAAUUAUAGCAAGAAUUAAACAAUAUUAGGGAAUUAUGCAACGGACCUUAGGUAGAUUGUGUUGAUUUUAAUGUCACCACGUAUCCAAAUGAGAGGUCAGAAGGGCAUGGAAUGAUAGACGCCAUGUAUGAAUUCACAGACUGGAUAAAUGAGAUGGAGUUCAUUGACCUCCCCCCCCAACACACAUACACACACUUAGGGGGAAAUUUUACAUGGAGAAGAGGAGAUAUGCAUAGAUCUGCUUCCAGAAUUAAUAGAUUCUUAUACUCUAGUCAAUAGAAUGAAGCUUCACACAGAUCAGGUAGAAUUUUUUGCCUAAAAUAGGCUCGGAUCACAAUCCUAUUAUGCUUGAAUGUGGGGAACUGAAUUUGGAAAAAUCCUAUUUCAAAUUUGAGCAAUGAUGACUGGGGGUUGAUGGAUUUGCUGACAAGAUCAAGGAAUGGUGGUUAUCAUUCAAUAUAAAUUGUACAGGAUCUUUUGUCUUAGCCAUAAAAUUGAGAUUACUGAAAAAGAAACUGAAGGAGUGGAGACUAUUUUACAAAAACAACUGGAAACAAAGGAAAGAGAAAAGUUUAUAUCAACUUUUAGAUCUGGAGAAAACUCAGGAGUUGAGGCUUUUAACAGAGGAAGAGAUUUUACAAAAGGUCCAUUUAUCUUUGGAGUUUGAAUAAGUUACUAGGCAAGAGGAGAUAGCCUGAAGACGAAAGUCUAGGAUACAAUGGAUCAAGCAGGGUGAUAAAAAUACUAAAUUUUUUCACAAGGUUACAACAGCUCAUAAAAGGUUCAACUCUAUUAAUGCUUUGAUGAUCGAGGGAAAUUUUAUCCCAAACCAGAAGAGAUCAAAAGAGAAAUCAUCAGCUUUUAUUAGAAAUAAUAUAAAAAAAUUGAAACAUGGAGACCGAAAUUCAAAUUGAAUGGAGCUGACCGUAUCAAUAAAGAUGAAAAAACCUGGCUAUAAAGACAGUUU